rnacentral:rRNA from 1 species
UACGAAGGGGGCUAGCGUUGUUCGGAAUUACUGGGCGUAAAGCGCACGUAGGCGGGUUGUUAAGUCAGGGGUGAAAUCCCGGAGCCUGACUCCGGAAUGGCAUUCGAAACUGCAUCGCUCGAGGUCUGGAGAGGUGACUGGAAUUCUCGGUGUAGCAGUGAAAUGCGUAGAUACCAUAAGGAAUACCAAUAGCGAAGGCAGCUUACUGGCCUUGUACUGACGCUGAGGCACGAAAGCGUGGGGAGCAAACAGGG